rnacentral:rRNA from 1 species
CCGUUACUUUGAGAAAAUUAGAGUGUUUGAAGCAGGCUAAUUGCCUUGAAUACUGCAGCAUGGAAUAACAAUAUAGGAUUUCGGUUCUAUUUUGUUGGUUUCUAGGACUGAAAUAAUGAUUAAUAGGGACAGUUGGGGGCAUUCGUAUUUAACUGUCA